GUGUGUGUGUGUGUGCGUGUAUUCAGCAGUCUGUGUGUGUGUGCGUGUAUUCAGCAGUCUGUGUGUGUGUACUCAGCAGUCUGUGUGUGUGUGUACUCAGCAGUCUGUGUGUGUGUGUGUACUCCACAGUCUGUGUGUGUGUGUACUCCGCACUCUGUGUGUGUGUGUACUCAGCAGUCUGUGUGUGUGUAUGUGUACUCCGAAGUCUGUGUGUGUGUGUACUCAGCAGUCUGUGUGUGUGUGUGUGUACUCAGCAGUCUGUGUUUGUGUGUACUCAGCAGUCUGUGUGUGUGUACUCAGCAGUGUGUGUGUGUACUCAGCAGUCUGUGUGUGUACUCAGCAGUCUGUGUGUGUGUGUGUGUGUGUACUCAGCAGUCUGUGUGUGUGUACUCAGCAGUCGGUGUGUGUGUACUCAGCAGUCGGUGUGUGUGUGUGUGUACUCAGCAGUCUGUCUGUAUGUGUAUUCAGCAGACUGUGUGUGUGUAUUAAUCAGUCUCUGUAUUCAGCAGUCGUGUGUGUGUGUGUGUGU